rnacentral:hammerhead_ribozyme from 1 species
AUCUAACUGACGUGUCCUAAAUAGGAUGAAACGUGCGUCAAACUGGAU